AUUUGAUUAGGAUUUGAUUAGAAUUUGAUUAGGAUUUGAUUAAGAUUUGACUAAAAUUUGGUUAGAAUUUGGUUAGGAUUUGUUUAGGAUUUGACUAGAAUUUUGUCUAGAAUUUAGUUAGUGCUUAUUGAGAGUUUGUCUAGGAUUUGACUAGGACUUAUUUAAUGUUUGACUAGGAUUUAUUUAGGAUUUGAUUAGGAUUUGGUUGAGAUUUUUUUAGGAUUUGAUUAGGAUUGGUUAGGAUUUUUUUAGGAUUUAAUUAGGAUUUGAUUAGGAUUUGACUAAGAUUUGAUUAGGACUUAUUUAGGUAUUGACUAGAAUUUAACAAGGACUUGACCAAGGUUUGAUUAAAGUUUGUUUAAGGUUUGACCAAGGUUUGAUUCGGUUUUAACUAGAAUUUAAUUAAAUUUUUUAUUUUCAUAUUUUAUAAAUAUUUUUAUUUUGGUAUAUAUUUUUUGAAUUUCUAUUUUAUUUCUUUAUGAAUUUUCUUUAUUUCUUCAAGAAUUCUUUGUGUUUCUUAUA
rnacentral:lncRNA from 1 species